rnacentral:rRNA from 1 species
UUGUGGGGUGCUCGAGUGGCGAACGGGUGAGUAACACGUGAGUAACCUGCCCUUGACUUUGGGAUAACUUCAGGAAACUGGGGCUAAUACCGGAUAGGAGCUCCUGCUGCAUGGUGGGGGUUGGAAAGUUUCGGCGGUUGGGGAUGGACUCGCGGCUUAUCAGCUUGUUGGUGGGGUAGUGGCCUACCAAGGCGGCGACGGGUAGCCGGCCUGAGAGGGUGACCGGCCACAUUGGGACUGAGAUACGGCCCAG